AAUUGUUGCCUUUUUCUUAAUCAAACUAUCUAUGAUUUUAAUUUCGAGUUCUACUUACACCCAUCGGUCCCUACAGAGUUCAGUAUACAAAACCAUGUCGGAGAAAUAACACACAGGAAAUAGCAACACAAAAAAAACAAACAAAUUUAGUUUUAAGCCUAAAGUGAAAUAGUUUUGUGUACGCAUAUUGCUCAACCCUACGACAUUUUUGUAAAAUUUUUCUCUACUCGUCUGAUUAUACACGUCUUUAAAUGCCCACACUUAAAAGACACAAAACAGAAAAAAGAAGCGACAACAAAAGGCCGAGAUGAUGUGAAGCUGAAUGAACGCGACGCCAGUUGACACUUUGCUCUAACUAUAUGGAACGAUCAUAAAAAGACUGGAAAACAAUGAAGACAAAAGUGGGAAGGUAGACUAUAAUUCAAAUUCCCUGUUAAACACUUAAACCGAAUGGCAAACAAGUUAAGAGGAGGAUCAACCGUAUCUUGCAGUGCAGUUCAGUUCUCAAUCAAUUAACGACUUGACAAAUGAAGGCACGCACUUGAAAGUUCAAAAUCAGAUGUCCAACAAGAAUGAUUGGCCAUCUCUUCAUAGAAUUUCUUGGUAUUUGCGUAUAUACUGGAGUCAACCAUUGAGCUGCACCACCAAAACUAAAACCCCCCACAACUCUAUUGGAUCUUGUCCCUGCUCUUCGUGUCCGGCACUAUUAUUUGUAAACACAAAGAAACUAACAAAAAUACACUUGGCAAAUA